CCUACGGGAGGCAGCAGUAGGGAAUCUUGCACAAUGGGCGAAAGCCUGAUGGAGCAACGCCGCGUGGGUGAAGAAGGUCUUCGGAUUGUAAAACCCUUUUGUUAGGGAAGAAAGUGCGUGGGAGAAUCUGCUCACGUUUCGACGGUAUCUAACCAGAAAGCCACGGCUAACUCCGUGCCAGCAGCCGCGGUAAUACGUAGGUGGCAAGCGUUAUCCGGAUUUAUUGGGCGUAAAGGGAACGCAGGCGGUCUUUUAAGUCUGAUGUGAAAGCCUUCGGCUUAACCGGGGUAGUGCAUUGGAAACUGGGAGACUUGAGUGUAGAAGAGGGGGGUGGAACUCCAGGUGUAGCGGUGAAAUGCGUAGAUAUAUGGAAGAACACCGGUGGCGAAGGCGGCUCUCUGGUCUGUGACUGACGCUGAGGUUCGAAAGCGUGGGUAGCAAACAGGAUUAGAUACCCGGGUAGUC
rnacentral:rRNA from 1 species